rnacentral:sRNA from 1 species
CAGCGGACCUCUGGAUAUUAGGCCAGAAUGCAUCGGGCUAUAAAAAGCUUGUUUAUUAAGGAACAGUGAGGGCCUUCCUUUCCAUUGUCUGUUCGCGCCUUAAGAGGUCAAAACAUUACACUGGUCGUGCCGCAUUUGGUCAAGACUCUGCACUCGUGCGCUGUGCCUCGUCCACCGCCAUCAGCGUGGGUCAAGAGAAGGAACUUUUCUCCUUCAUUCAAAUAACGUGCGGAUGGAGGAGCGGAAUGAAGUCCUUGCAUAAGCUAGCUAGACAAUGAAAUGAUAAAUUUGUUUGCAUACCAGUUUUACGACUGCUCAAGAAAAGGAAAGAAAGGAAGGAAGGAAGGAAGGAAGCCGGUGGGUGCUUCAUGGCUUUGACGCCUCCAAAGCUCGAUUGUCAAGUUUGGUGCCCAAAGGUCUCUCUAACUUCUCAAGGGCGUUUGUUCCACAAAUUCUGUUUUUAACUUGAAUUACUAUCGGCUCUUUUCUGAUCGCUCUGAACUACAACAGCCCUCACCUCCGGAUUUAGCCAGAUCGGUCUUCUGGUUCAAUAUUACUCUGUGGGAGACACGGAAAUUCCUUUGUCUUUUCAAGGCGGUAUCC